rnacentral:rRNA from 1 species
UACGUAGGUGGCAAGCGUUGUCCGGAUUUACUGGGCGUAAAGAGCGCGCAGGCGGUCGUUCAAGUCGCGUGUGAAAGCCCCCGGCUCAACUGGGGAGGGUCACGCGAUACUGAUCGACUCGAAGGCAGGAGAGGGAAGUGGAAUUCCCGGUGUAGUGGUGAAAUGCGUAGAUAUCGGGAGGAACACCAGUGGCGAAGGCGGCUCUCUGGUACGGAACUGACGCUGAGACGCGAAAGCGUGGGGAGCGAACAGG